AAGUCGUAACAAGGUUUCCGUAGGUGAACCUGCGGAAGGAUCAUUAAUGAAAUGUAAGGAUGCUCUUUUUAGAGGUCCGACCAAAUCAUUUUCUUUACACUGUGCACACACUAUUUUUUACACCUUUUUAACACGUAAAGUCUAAGAAUGUAAUCAGUCUCUUAAUUGAGCAUAAAGUUUAUUAAAACUUUCGGCAACGGAUCUCUUGGUUCCC
rnacentral:misc_RNA from 1 species